rnacentral:tmRNA from 1 species
GGGGAUGAAAGGAUUUCGACGGGGGUCUGGAAGUAAGAUAAGCGAGCCGAGCUGAGGAAUCUCGUAAAAGCCUCAAAUUGUCUAAAAUAAACGACAACUCUAAUUACGAACUUCAGGCUGCGUAAAGCUAGCCUGCAUCGGAACCGGGAGUACCGCGGCCCGGGGACGGUGUCAUUUUAGCGGUGAACGUGAAUGGCGAUCCGUUCCAGUCGCCAUCAUGACUUCGGAACUACCGACGGUGUAAGCCUGUCAGCCGGCUCACACCCGGGGGAAUCUCAAUAGACUGAAUACGCUCGUAGAAAGUUUUAUGGAGGGCAGCUCGGACGCGGGUUCGAUUCCCGCCAUCUCCACCA